UACAAGAAUCUUCUAGAAAUCCUGACCCUGUGAUUACCAAGACUGAAAGUUUCAUAACAACACUCAAAAGAAAGGAAUUCAAACCGCUUGAAGGACAGUGGGCAACAUACCUAGUGAAGGCAAGGAAGAAGAGAGAAUAUGCUGCUAAACACAAGGUGUGCUUUUGGGAUUAGAAAAACAAUCUCUGCUGUUCUGUAUAUCGAAGACCAUGGGGAGCAGUACAAAUAACACAAACAAAUUUUAUUGUGUUGCAUGAAAUAUAUAAGUGCUUUAAAUAUGUUUUCCUGUGUUAUUAAAAAUGGACUGAGGGA